AUCCUUGUCAGCAUCAACUUCAGCAAAUGUCUUGUCUAUGAUAUCAUCGAGAAGUUCAUCAUCCAAAUUAACAUUGGAUUCCAUCAAAAUGGCAACCACCAUUGCCUAACCUGAAAUCAAUAGAAGGCCAGAUAGCAUUUUUCCUUUUUUUUUUUUUUUAAUAGAAGAACGCCAGAUAGCUAAACGCCUUAGCAUGAACUAUCUGUAAACUCUGAG
rnacentral:misc_RNA from 1 species